rnacentral:rRNA from 1 species
CGGCUGUGGAGGAUUCUCUGACGGAGCAACACCGCGUGAACGAAGAAGUAUUUCGAUAUGUAAAGUUCUUUUAUUAAAGAAGAAAAAAUGAUGGAAAAAUCAUUCUGACGGUAUUUAAUGAAUAAGCGGCGGCUAACUAUGUGCCAGCAGCUGCGGUAAUACAUAGGCCGCGAGCGUUAUCCGGAUUUAUUGGGCGUAAAGGGUGCGUAGGCCCUUUAAUAAGUCUGUGGUUUAAACUCAAUGCUCAACAUUGUGACGCUACAGAAACUGUUUAACUAGAGUUGGAUAGAGGCAAGCGGAAUUCCAUGUGUAGCGGUAAAAUGCGUAAAGAUAUGGAGGAACACCAGUAGCGAAGGCGGCUUGCUGGGUCUUAACUGACGCUGACCCACGAAAGCAUGGGGAGCAAACAGGAUUAGAUACCCUGGUAGUCCAUGCCGUAAACGAUGAGUACUAAGUGUCGGGUUAAACCGGUGCUGAAGUUUUCACAUUAAGUACUCCGCCUGAGUAGUACGUACGCAAGUAUGAAACUUAAAGGAAUUGACGGGACUCCGCACAAGCGGUGGAUCAUGUUGUUUAAUUCGAAGAUACACGAAAAACCUUACCAGGUCUUGACAUACUCUGCAAAACUAUAGCAAUAUAGUGGAGGCUAUCAGGGAUACAGGUGGCGCAUGGUUGUCGUCAGCUCGUGUCGUGAGAUGUUGGGUUAAGUCCCGCAACGAGCGCAACCCUUAUUACUAGUUACCAUCAUUUAGUUGGGGACUCUAGUGAGACUGCCAAUGAUAAAUUGGAGGAAGGUGAGGAUCACGUCAAAUCAGCAUGCCCCUUAUGACCUGGGCUACAAACGUGAUACAAUGGCUGUUACAAAGGGUAGCUGAAACGCAAGUUCUUGGCCAAUCCCCAAAAACAGUCCCAGUGGGGAUUGAAGUCUGCAACUCGACUUCAUGAAGUUGGAAUCGCUAGUAUCGCGAAUCAGCAUGUCGCGGUGAAUACGUUCUCGGGGUUUGUACACACCGCCCGUCAAACCACGAAAGUUGGCAAUACCCCAAAACGGUAGCCUAACUCGUUUAUUCGAGAGGGCGCCGUCUAAGGUAGGGUCGAUGAUUGGGGUUAAGUCGUAACAAGGUAUCCCUACCGGAAGGUGGGGAUGCGGCA